UUCCUCAAUAAAAUCUCCAAAAUCUUGAUGCAGAUCUUGACAUUCUUCAAAUUCAUUAGCCCUCACAGUCACCCAUUCUUGAUCCUCCCCAAAAUCCCACCUCGUCGGUCCACUACCACCGACCAGUGCUCGGAUCCUACUAUUAGGUGAAUCGGUCGGCGAUGACGACAUCAUCUCCGUCGGAAUUUCCAAACAUUCCGACACCUCCACUGCAUCCCAAAAGUCUUGAUCCGUCACACUCGUCGGAGACCUCCUCGUCCCUUCUCCAAUUCCGCCGCAACCUUCCUCCGCCGAAUCCAAAAACGGAUGCCGCAGCAGCUCCGCCGCCGUCCACCGCCUCCUUGGGUCCCUCACCAAACACUUCCCCACGAAAUCCCUCGCCUCGCCGGAAAACCAGCUCGGCGGCUCCGGCACGUCGUCGGAGAACGCGAUCCGGUAAAGCGCCGCCGCCGGAUCCUUCAUCUCCGGCCAUGGGUGGCAUCCGGUGGCCAUUUCUAUUACCGUGCAUCCCACCGACCACACAUCCGCCGGGAAACUCUGCUCCUCGCCUCGGGAGGCCUCCGGCGCCAUGUACGCCGGCGUGCCGGAAAACACCCCGCCGGUUGCCGCCCAUUUUGCGCACCCGAAAUCGCCGAUCUUCACCCCAGCGCCGCCGCCGCCGACGAGAAUGUUCUGGCCUUUGAUGUCGCAGUGCACCAAUCCACUGCGGUGGAGAUAUUCCAAUCCCGUGAGCAGCUGCUUGGAAUAAAAUCGAAUCGUUUUCUCGUCCAACGCGCCUCCCCGCUUUCCGAUCAGAUCGGAAAGCGAACCGCCGCUGGAAUAUUCUAGAAACAGAUUGUAGACGGAUUUAUCAUCGUCGGAGGUGACAUCUGAGCCUAAGCAGCGAAUGACGUAAGGAGAGGAGAGUGAGAGAUGAAUGAUUCCUCCUUCUUCAGCAAGGCGGAGGAAGCGAGAUCAGUAGACUUGACGGCGAAGAUGUCGCCGGCGGGGGUGGCGGCGAUGGAAACCGUUGCGGUGGAGCCCCGGCCGAUGGUGGGACCCCUCGUCCACGUCAUUGAAGAAUUGGAGAAGAGUGAAAGGGUUUCAAUUUUCAAAUUUUGUUGGAAUCGCUAAAGUUUGGUUCGUUGGUGGCAGUAUUUAUAGGCGGAGAGUUAAAAUUAAUUUUGGGGAGAAUCAUUUUUGGGUGUAUUUACGGUGACGGCCGUAGUUUCUACUUGUAUUUGCAUUUAUAUGCAUGGCUGUGCCACGCGGCGGGCGGAGAGAGGGUGGGGCGUUUUGGCCGACUGUGGACGGCGCUGAGAAUAAGGCGUCGAGACGAGGACACGGUGGACACGUGCCUGCUCAAAUCGGCGUCGCUGAUUGCGCAAUCAACCAACCAGUUAACCCACUAAUGCAGCAGCUACCGUCGACCGAUGCGGUAUUGCGGCGGCUCUUGUUAUGUUACUGUUCACGAAAUUAAAAAACAGUAAAAUACAGAAAUUAAAUUAAACUUCGAACCUCAAGGGUAUUAUAUUUGAGAAGAACUGAUUUUAAUUCAUGUUUUCAGUAAGAUUCAAGUAUGAGAUUGAAAUUUAAUAAAAUAUAAAUUUUCACGCUCUUAACAAAAACACCUAAAUUUAUCAAAAUGUCAGAAAUUGAUAUAACUAUUUUCAGAAGAGAUAAUAAUGCAACAUGUUAUUUAAUUGUCGGAUUGGAGAUAAUUAGUUUUAUAUUUUCACCGUCCGAAUUCAAUGGGCCAUAUUUUUUUAUUUGAACGUCUCAUUAAAAUAAAUAUCCUCGUUUAAUUCAUUAUUCACCUUAAAUGUUAUUGUACCUCACACAUAAUUAUCUCUUUUUUAUUUAUCUCUCCUACUGUUUAUACAAAUUAUAUUUCUAAAAAAAAAUUCAUUUUUCUAAUCUAUUUUAUUAUAAACUAUUUAUUUCUUAAUAUUCGUGUCCAAAUCCUGUGACAUGUUGAAUUGGGGCGGAGGGAGUAUUAUUUUUGUAACGCCCCAAUUUUCAUAAACUUUUCAAACUAAAAUCUUGAAGAACUAAUAGUUAAAAAUAAAAUUCCUUGACUAUCAAAAUUUAAACUAAUUUUAAAAUCAACUUGCUAAAACUAAAGUAGUAACAUGAAAAAAAAAACAUAAAUUAAAACUUAACANAUUCAAAUUUUUACUUAGGAUAUUUAAAACGAUACAUCGUCGGUCAUCUUUUAAUUUGAAUAGCUAUUAUACAUUAUUUGUUAAAAAUAUAUAUUAACGAGUAAUUAAAAUAGAAUUUUAUAUAAUCGUUAUUGUCAGUCUGUCAAUCGAGGACAUGGUUAAUAGAUGCUUAAGCAUCUCCCAUUCAUUUACAUUAUAAUUUUGUUAUUCAUCAACAUUAUUUAUUUUUAUCAUUAAUAAUAAUAAUAAUAAUAAGUUAGAAGUAUCUAACUACUAACUGUCACUAUCAUAUUAGAGUUAGUAUCAUCUUUGAGAAAAGGCAGCUAAAAGAUCAAUUGAAUAACAAUAACAAAAACUAAAGGUAGAAAAGGCAGCAAAGAAACUUGAUCUGGAUGAAGAAAAAAUUCAAUUAACAUAAUCUUCAAAUCUAAAAAUUCUGAAUAGACAAAAUAUUUUACACUCUGUUUGUGUGUGAAUGAUGCUGCACAACCACUAACUCCAAUGAAAAAAUCAAACCAAGAAUAAUCCUCCACCAACACCAAAUCUGAAUAUGAAAUUUCUUCUUCCUCAAUAAAAUCUCCAAAAUCUUGAUGCAGAUCUUGACAUUCUUCAAAUUCAUUAGCCCUCACAGUCACCCAUUCUUGAUCCUCUCCAAAAUCCCACCUCGUCGGUCCACUACCACCGACCAGUGCUCGGAUCCUACUAUUAGGUGAAUCCGUCGGCGAUGACGACAUCAUCUCCGUCGGAAUUUCCAAACAUUCAGACACCUCCACUGCAUCCCAAAAGUCUUGAUCCGUCACACUCGUCGGAGACCUCCUCGUCCCUUCUCCAAUUCCGCCGCAACCCUCCUCCGCCGAAUCCAAAAACGGAUGCCGCAGCAGCUCCGCCGCCGUCCACCGCCUCCUUGGGUCCCUCACCAAACACUUCCCCACGAAAUCC
rnacentral:lncRNA from 1 species